AGCGAACGCUGGCGGCAUGCCUAACACAUGCAAGUCGAACGAGACCUUCGGGUCUAGUGGCGCACGGGUGCGUAACGCGUGGGAACCUGCCCUUAGGUUCGGAAUAACUCCCCGACAGGGGUGCUAAUACCGGAUAAUGUCUUCGGACCAAAGAUUUAUCGCCUUUGGAUGGGCCCGCGUUGGAUUAGCUAGUUGGUAGGGUAAAAGCCUACCAAGGCGACGAUCCAUAGCUGGUCUGAGAGGCUGAUCAGCCACACUGGGACUGAGACACGGCCCAGACUCCUACGGGAGGCAGCAGUGGGGAAUAUUGGACAAUGGGCGAAAGCCUGAUCCAGCAAUGCCGCGUGAGUGAUGAAGGCCUUAGGGUUGUAAAGCUCUUUUACCCGGGAUGAUAAUGACAGUACCGGGAGAAUAAGCUCCGGCUAACUCCGUG
rnacentral:rRNA from 1 species